AUCGAAUUAGGGCGAGGUCUUAUCCUAGUUUUAAAGUCGCUUCAAAUUUCAUCUUCUAAAGGAAUGCUUGGGUGUUAUUUCAAUUCGACUCUUAAUAUAUGGAGUAUUUCCCUAUCUUACAGAUAUUUCACAAAAUGGCAAAUAUUACUGUUGUUUAAAAUAUUGCGGGUUUUUGAAAAGAUACCAGCUGGAGAAGGUCAACAUUUGUUGCUUUCACACAUGAUUGAUCAAUGGAUAGGCUGUACCUGUAGACAUUCUAUCGAAGUAAGCCAGAUUCGUAGUAACAUCUUUGAUGAGAAUAGUCUUGCUACAUUUAAUGUACAAGGGAACGUAUUCUUAGAGAUCGUUUCUGAAAUGGAACCAGUGCUUAAGGCACAGAAGUCACUGAAGUGGGUUCUUUUUCAGAUGAAAUGUCAAGUUCUUAUUGAUGUUUGUAAAGUAUUGAUUUCAAAAUUAAUUCAAAAAGCUUUCAUGUUUAUUCCUGGCUUCCUCAGAUUUUCCCAGAAAAAAAAAAACAAUAUUUCUAUGUAUAAAUUGUAUCAUAU
rnacentral:lncRNA from 1 species